AGAGUUUGAUCCUGGCUCAGGAUGAACGCUGGCGGCGUGCCUAACACAUGCAAGUCGAACGGAGUUCUUAAGGAAUGCGACUUCGGUCAAAUGACUUUUGAACUUAGUGGCGGACGGGUGAGUAACGCGUGAGCAACCUGCCUUUCAGAGGGGGAUAACAUUUGGAAACAGAUGCUAAUACCGCAUAAGAUUACAGUACCGCAUGAUACAGUGAUCAAAGGAGCAAUCCGCUGAAAGAUGGGCUCGCGUCCGAUUAGAUAGUUGGUGAGGUAACGGCUCACCAAGUCGACGAUCGGUAGCCGGACUGAGAGGUUGAACGGCCACAUUGGGACUGAGACACGGCCCAGACUCCUACGGGAGGCAGCAGUGGGGAAUAUUGCACAAUGGGCGAAAGCCUGAUGCAGCAACGCCGCGUGAGGGAAGACGGUUUUCGGAUUGUAAACCUCUGUUUUCGGUGACGAACAAAUGACGGUAACCGAGUAGGAAGCCACGGCUAACUACGUGCCAGCAGCCGCGGU
rnacentral:rRNA from 1 species